UACGUAGGUGGCAAGCGUUGUCCGGAUUUACUGGGCGUAAAGAGCGCGCAGGCGGUCGUUCAAGUCGCGUGUGAAAGCCCCCGGCUCAACUGGGGAGGGUCACGCGAUACUGAUCGACUGGAAGGCAGGAGAGGGUAGUGGAAUUCCCGGUGUAGUGGUGAAAUGCGUAGAUAUCGGGAGGAACACCGGUGGCGAAGGCGGCGACCUGGGUCGAUACUGACGCUGAGGUGCGAAAGCGUGGGGAGCAAACAGG
rnacentral:rRNA from 1 species